AAAAAGCUUGUUAUCUACUAUCUAAGAAAAGCAUGAAUCUAAAUUUCUUCAGGUAUUUGACUCAUAAAAUCCGUGAAAAUUUAUUUAAGAAGGCCAUCUUAAAAAUAUGCAUUCUAAAUUAACGUUUUAUUUUGGCUAACGUCUUCAAGCGUGUAACGUUAGGUGACACCAGUAUCGUGCGACGUUUCUUAAUCAAUAUCACCAUACCAUCUAGAUAUAAAGACAAAGCCUUGCGACAUUUGCUUUACUUGCAAAAACAAUCAUCUAUUAAGUGGGACGCACAAGGUGAAGUUUGCAUUCACGGAAAUAUUAUUUCAAACACUCAUAUCGUUGACUUGAUACGUGAUUCAACAGUUCCAAUUGGUCGUAGAGAACUAACAGCUGGUAUACAUCAAUUCCAUCAAUUUCUGAAGUCUACUAACAUUCCACAUUGUUUGUUAAGGAAUGUCGAACAAACAAAGUCCGACUCGAGUCUACCCCUUAUAAAGAAAAGAAAACGGAAGAAAAAAUUAAGGAGAAAGAAGAAACAGAUGAAUACAUUGAAGAUAGUUACUGACAAUAAAAACAUCCAACGGAACAAAAAGACAAAAAAAAAAAAACUGAAACUAAUUUGGAAACCCAAAAGAAAAUGUAUGUGCAACGAGACAUAAACAGUAUAUUCACA
rnacentral:lncRNA from 1 species